UGGGAUGUAGCUCAGUGGUAGAGCGCUUGUCUCACAUGCUCGGGGCCCUGGAUUUCAACCCCAGCACCACAU
rnacentral:tRNA from 1 species